rnacentral:rRNA from 1 species
AAUCAACGCUGGCGGCGUGCCUAACACAUGCAAGUCGAGCGAGAAAGGGAGCUUCGGUUCCCGAGUACAGCGGCGGACGGGUGAGUAACACGUGGGUAAUCUACCCUCGGGUGGGGAAUAACUCAGGGAAACCUGAGCUAAUUCCGCAUGAUAUCUCCGGUUCAUACGGACUGGAGAUCAAAGCUGGGGACCCUUCGGGGCCUGGCGCCUGGGGAGGAGCCCGCGGCCAAUUAGCUUGAUGGUGAGGUAAAGGCUCACCAUGGCUACGAUUGGUAGCCGGCCUGAGAGGGCGGACGGUCACACUGGGACUGAGACACGGCCCAGACUCCUACGGGAGGCAGCAGUGGGGAAUUUUUGUCAAUGGGGGAAACCCUGAACAAGCAACGCCGCGUGGAGGACGAAGACCUUCGGGUUGUAAACUCCUGUCGGAGGGGACGAAGGCAGUAGUGGUUAAUACCCAUUAUUGUUGACGGUACCCUACGAGGAAGCCCCGGCUAACUCCGUG